GUAGGAAAUGGAGCUCGGUUGCAGAGUAGAGUCGGUGUGUGACACGCAGAUGAAUGGAGAGCUGGAAAAGCGGAAGAUGAAGAGGAUAUGAGGAGGCACCAAGACCACACCUGUCUCUGUGUGUCAGGUGUGGUCAGAUGUUGAAUGUUCGAGGGGAGAAAAUGUCUGAGCAUUUUGUUCCUCGGAGCUUUAAAGAAGGCGCUCUCUCAGUGGCCCGGGUCUCAGCUGGUGCACUACUGCUGUGCUGAGAGUAGAAUUAUGGGGGGCUCCAGUGACCGCUCAGACAAUCAUGUUUCUGGAGUUCAAAGGAAUGAGGAAUCACAGGAGGAAAUGCACCAUAAGGUAAAGAACCCAAACUUUAAAAAAAAAAAAAAAAAAAAAAAGUUUUAGUUCUCUCUCAGUGAAUUAAAUUAGUAAUAGAAUCAACCUUUUUCAGGGGUAGUCUGGGCUGUUUUAGGUGCCGUCACUUUCCAUUU